UCCUCGCCAACCGGGUCAGGUCGGGAACGAAGCAGCCCUAACGAGUUUUAC
rnacentral:SRP_RNA from 1 species